UGGGGAAUCUUCCGCAAUGGGCGCAAGCCUGACGGAGCAACGCCGCGUGAGCGAAGAAGGCCUUCGGGUUGUAAAGCUCUGUCCAGGGGGAAGAAGCAAGUGACGGUACCCUUGGAGGAAGCCCCGGCUAACUACGUGCCAGCAGCCGCGGUAAAACGUAGGGGGCGAGCGUUGUCCGGAAUUACUGGGCGUAAAGGGCGUGUAGGCGGCUAUGCAAGUCAGGAGUGAAAACCGUCGGCUCAACCGGCGGCCUGCUUCUGAAACUGCAUGGCUUGAGUGCAGGAGAGGGAAGUGGAAUUCCCAGUGUAGCGGUGAAAUGCGUAGAUAUUGGGAGGAACACCAGUGGCGAAAGCGGCUUCCUGGCCUGUAACUGACGCUGAGGCGCGAAAGCGUGGGGAGCAAACAGG
rnacentral:rRNA from 1 species